AGGGAAUCUUCCGCAAUGGACGAAAGUCUGACGGAGCAACGCCGCGUGAGUGAUGAAGGUUUUCGGAUCGUAAAGCUCUGUUGCCAGGGAAGAACGUCCGUUAGAGUAACUGCUAACGGAGUGACGGUACCUGAGAAGAAAGCCACGGCUAACUACGUGCCAGCAGCCGCGGUAAUACGUAGGUGGCAAGCGUUGUCCGGGAUUAUUGGGCGUAAAGCGCGCGCAGGCGGCUGUUUAAGUCUGGUGUAUAAGCCUGGGGCUCAACUCCGGGUCGCACUGGAAACUGGACGGCUUGAGUGCAGAAGAGGAGAGUGGAAUUCCACGUGUAGCGGUGAAAUGCGUAGAGAUGUGGAGGAACACCAGUGGCGAAGGCGACUCUCUGGGCUGUAACUGACGCUGAGGCGCGAAAGCGUGGGGAGCAAAC
rnacentral:rRNA from 1 species